CCGAUGACUCAUAAAACAUAUUUUCUGUCUGUGCUUUAAAUGUAAGGAGAAUGCAUCCAUAUUGUAUAUCGGACAUGCAAGAUAUCCUUUGAUGCUCCAUCCAGAUAAGUUUUCAUAUAUAAAAAAAUCAUUUAUAGUCCAUAGAAUUGAAGCAUGCAACUUAAAAUUACUUCAACUCAUAGAAUCAUAUGUCUAUACCCUAUUUUCCCAUAGCUCCUUCAGAUCAUC
rnacentral:lncRNA from 1 species